rnacentral:rRNA from 1 species
GACGAACGCUGGCGGCGUGCCUAAUACAUGCAAGUCGAGCGAAGUUUUUCUGGUGCUUGCACUAGAAACACUUAGCGGCGAACGGGUGAGUAACACGUAAAGAACCUGCCUCAUAGACUGGGACAACUAUUGGAAACGAUAGCUAAUACCGGAUAACAGUAUUUCUCGCAUGAGAGAUAUUUAAAAGUUGGUUAUGCUAGCACUAUGAGAUGGCUUUGCGGUGCAUUAGCUAGUUGGUGGGGUAAAGGCCCACCAAGGCGACGAUGCAUAGCCGACCUGAGAGGGUGAUCGGCCACACUGGGACUGAGACACGGCCCAGACUCCUACGGGAGGCAGCAGUAGGGAAUCUUCCGCAAUGGGCGAAAGCCUGACGGAGCAACGCCGCGUGAGUGAAGAAGGAUUUCGGUUCGUAAAGCUCUGUUGUUAGGGAAGAAUGGAUAUGUAGUAACUAUACAUGUAAGAGACGGUACCUAACCAGAAAGCCACGGCUAACUACGUG